rnacentral:piRNA from 1 species
CAGAGAUUCCUUGAUGUAACAGA